GACGAACGCUGGCGGCGUGCUUAACACAUGCAAGUCGAACGGAAAGGCCUGCUUUCCCUUGUGGAUUGCGGGUACUCGAGUGGCGAACGGGUGAGUAACACGUGAGUGAUCUGCCCCCAACUUGGGUAUAAGCCUGGGAAACUGGGUCUAAUUCCCGAUAGGACUGCAGGGUGGUGCCUGUGGUGGAAAACGAUUUUCUAGUGGUUGGGGAUGAGCUCGCGGCCUAUCAGCUUGUUGGUGGGGUAAUGGCCUACCAAGGCGGCGACGGGUAGCCGGCCUGAGAGGGUGGACGGGCACAUUGGGACAGAGAUACGGCCCAGACUCCUACGGGAGGCAGCAGUGGGGAAUAUUGCACAAUGGGCGGAAGGCUGAUGCAGCGACGCCGCGUGGAGGAUGACGGCCUUCGGGUUGUAAACUCCUUUCGACCGCGAGGAAGCCACCUGGUUGGAAGGGUGGUGACGGUAGUGGUAGAAGAAGCACCGGCUAACUACGUG
rnacentral:rRNA from 1 species